UCCUUCAUAGCUGAGUUGGUAAAGAAUCUGCCUGCAAUGCAGAAGACCCUGGUUCAAUUCCUGGGUUGGGAA
rfam:TPA: Bos taurus chromosome 17, whole genome shotgun sequence.